CCUACGGGAGGCAGCAGUGGGGAAUAUUGCACAAUGGGGGAAACCCUGAUGCAGCGACGCCGCGUGAGUGAAGAAGUAAUUCGUUAUGUAAAGCUCUAUCAACAGGGAAGAAAAUGACGGUACCUGAGUAAGAAGCCCCGGCUAACUACGUGCCAGCAGCCGCGGUAAUACGUAGGGGGCAAGCGUUAUCCGGAUUUACUGGGUGUAAAGGGAGCGUAGACGGCAGUGCAAGUCUGGAGUGAAAGGCGGGGGCUCAACCCCCGGACUGCUCUGGAAACUGUACGGCUGGAGUGCAGGAGAGGUAAGUGGAAUUCCUAGUGUAGCGGUGAAAUGCGUAGAUAUUAGGAGGAACACCAGUGGCGAAGGCGGCUUACUGGACUGUAACUGACGUUGAGGCUCGAAAGCGUGGGGAGCGAACAGGAUUAGAUACCCCUGUAGUC
rnacentral:rRNA from 1 species